UCACGCCACUCAAAUCACUAAUCACUAAACAUUGAUUAUUACCUUCUUCAUUUGUUAUCCCGUUACUCAAAUCAUUAAUCUCUCCUUUUUUUCUCUUGUUUCAGGCCAUCUCCAAUCAAGCCCUCCUCCAAUUCUAUCUCCGAUCCCAUCCUCCCCUAUUUACAGUCAAUUAGCAGUGAAUUGGGCAAAUUCGAGAGAAACCCAGAUGGGCCGGAUCAAAAGCUCAAGGCCCUUUUGGAGGAUUGCGUUCAGAGCCGAAGGGUCCGCCAAAAGAAAAACGACAGCAAUCUUUAGGGGGGGAAAUUGUCAAAGCCAAGAGAAAGAAGAUAUAGGAGGAUCAAGUCCAAAGAGCUAAGAGUCCCGCAGAUAAGUAGAAGUGCAGAAGUUUGCAAUGUGGAGAGUUAAACAUGCUCCGAGUUGUCGAAACUGAAAAGCUUGUUCAAAAUCAAAUGGAGAGUCUUCAUUUUGUUUGUGUGGUACUAUUGGUUUAGAAGUUGGAAUUUUAAUGUAUGAAAUCUCUAUAGCACUUGCAAGAGUUUUCUAUCAUGUAAAAGCGACCUUUCGAAUAGUUAUUGAAACAUUUAUCUCUUUUCUCUUCUUAUUUUUCAGAUAUAGUUCAUUGAUCCAACCUGUUAAAAAUUCCUGUACAAUGCUCUAUGUAGCCAUUCAUUCAGUUAAUUCAUAGGUAAAGAUACAAUAAAAUCAAGAGAUAAUAAAAUAUUCAUAGUUUGAGUUAAAAUUCCUUUGUUUUUCAUGAAGUAGGGAAUUAGUCCAAUACAGAAUUUUAACUGAAUAAUAAAACUAUUUUCACUUUCUACGACAAAGGUAUUUCAUACUAGAUUGCAGACAAGCUAUAAUGCUCCGAAGGGGAGUAAGUGUAAGUUCAGUGCAUUCAUUGCAUCACAAACACUGUGUUCAACUAUGCUUCUACCCUACAAUUCUUUUGGUGACUGCAGAAUUGAUGUUUCACUCUUUUCUAUUCAAUGUGAGAGAACUAUCAAUUAUAAAUCUCUUGUUCGUAAGAGAUUCUAUCGCUCCAUUGUUCGUAAGAGAUUUCUAUUCAGCUAUGCAGCGCUCAGGUGAAAAUGUAGCACUCAUGUCAAACUGAGGUUAGAGGAGGUACUCUCGUAGGGAGCAGCAGUACGAUACGACAUUCUAAUAUAGACGACGCUGAUAAUAGGGAUGCCGACAACGACGAUGACGAGGAAUGAGUGAGACUUGUUCUUAUAUUUAUGUAGUUUUAGAUUGUGUUAAGACAUGUUGUGACUUUUGAAUUUUACCUAUAUGUAAUAUAUUUGUGAUUUUAUUGUGUAGUGAAUGAAUAUUAUUUGAGCAUGCGAGAUGUGUUGUGAUUGUGAUUAUA